GAAAUGCGAUAAGUAGUGUGAAUUGCAGAAUUCAGUGAAUCAUCGAAUCUUUGAACGCAUAUUGCGCCCUUUGGUAUUCCAAAGGGCAUGCCUGUUCGAGCGUCAUUUGUACCCUCAAGCUUUGCUUGGUGUUGGGCGUCUUGUCUCUAGCUUUGCUGGAGACUCGCCUUAAAGUAAUUGGCAGCCGGCCUACUGGUUUCGGAGCGCAGCACAAGUCGCACUCUCUAUCAGCAAAGGUCUAGCAUCCAUUAAGCCUUUUUUUCAACUUUUGACCUCGGAUCAGGUAGGGAUACCCGCUGAACUUAAGC
rnacentral:misc_RNA from 1 species